rnacentral:misc_RNA from 1 species
GAAAUGCGAUAAGUAAUGUGAAUUGCAGAAUUCAGUGAAUCAUCGAAUCUUUGAACGCACCUUGCGCUCCUUGGUAUUCCGAGGAGCAUGCCUGUUUGAGUGUCAUGGAAUUCUCAACUCUAUUUGCUUUUGUGAAUAGAGCUUGGAUUUGGAGGUUUAUUGCUGGUACUUGUGAUCGGCUCCUCUUGAAUGCAUUAGCUCGAACCUUUGCGGAUCAGCUAUCGGUGUGAUAAUUGUCUACGCCGUUGCAGUGAAGCAUAUCAAUGGGCUCGGCUUCCAAUCGUCCUUUACUGGACAAUGACGUUGACCUUUGACCUCAAAUCAGGUAGGAUUACCCGCUGAACUUAAGC